GUCUACGGCCAUGCCACCCUGAACAAGCCCAAUCCCGUCUGAUCUCGGAAGCUAAGCAGGGUUGGGCCUGGUUAGUACUUGGAUGGGAGACCACCUAGGAAGACCAGAUGCUGUAGGCA
rnacentral:rRNA from 1 species